rnacentral:rRNA from 1 species
UACGUAUGGAGCAAGCGUUAUCCGGAUUUACUGGGUGUAAAGGGAGCGUAGGCGGCUCUGUAAGUCUGAUGUGAAAAUUUGGGGCUCAACCCCAAACGUGCAUUGGAAACUGCAGGGCCUGAGUACCGGAGAGGCAGGCGGAAUUCCUAGUGUAGCGGUGAAAUGCGUAGAUAUUAGGAGGAACACCAGUGGCGAAGGCGGCCUGCUGGACGGUAACUGACGCUGAGGCUCGAAAGCGUGGGGAGCAAACAGG